UAGGGAAUCUUCCACAAUGGACGAAAGUCUGAUGGAGCAACGCCGCGUGAGUGAUGAAGGGUUUCGGCUCGUAAAACUCUGUUGUUGGAGAAGAACAGGUGAUAGAGUAACUGUUAUCAUCUUGACGGUAUCCAACCAGAAAGCCACGGCUAACCACGUGCCAGCAGCCGCGGUAAUACGUAGGUGGCAAGCGUUGUCCGGAUUUAUUGGGCGUAAAGCGAGCGCAGGCGGUUUUUUAGGUCUGAUGUGAAAGCCUUCGGCUUAACCGGAGAAGGGCAUCGGAAACCGGGAGACUUGAGUGCAGAAGAGGACAGUGGAACUCCAUGUGUAGCGGUGAAAUGCGUAGAUAUAUGGAAGAACACCAGUGGCGAAGGCGGCUGUCUGGUCUGUAACUGACGCUGAGGCUCGAAAGCAUGGGUAGCGAACAGGAUUAGAUACCCUGGUAGUCCAUGCCGUAAAACGAU
rnacentral:rRNA from 1 species